UUACUUGUUCGAACACCAUUUUCUUGUAC
rnacentral:sRNA from 1 species